GACGAACGCUGGCGGCGUGCCUAAUACAUGCAAGUAGGACGCAGUUGCGAACGGGUGAGUAACGCGUAGGUAACUGCCUAUUAGAGGGGGAUAACUAUUGGAAACGAUAGCUAAUACCGCAUACUAGUAGAUGGACCUGCGUUGUAGUAGCUAGUAGGUAGGGUAAUGGCCUACCUAGGCGACGAUACAUAGCCGCCCUGAGAGGUGGAUCGGCCACACUGUGGCUGAGACACGGCCCAGACUCCUACGGGAUGCAGCAGGAGGGAAUCUUCGGCAAUGGGGGGAACCCUGACCGAGCAAAUCCGCGGGAGUGAAGAAGGUUUUCGGAUCGUAAAGCUCUUUUGUUAAGGAAGCGGUACUUAACCAGAAAGGGACGGCUAACUACGUGCCAGCAGCCGCGGUAAUAC
rnacentral:rRNA from 1 species